CCUGGCUCAGAUUGAACGCUGGCGGCAGGCUUAACACAUGCAAGUCGAGCGGGGGAAGGUAGCUUGCUACUGGACCUAGCGGCGGACGGGUGAGUAAUGCUUAGGAAUCUGCCUAUUAGUGGGGGACAACAUCUCGAAAGGGAUGCUAAUACCGCAUACGUCCUACGGGAGAAAGCAGGGGAUCUUCGGACCUUGCGCUAAUAGAUGAGCCUAAGUCGGAUUAGCUAGUUGGUGGGGUAAAGGCCUACCAAGGCGACGAUCUGUAGCGGGUCUGAGAGGAUGAUCCGCCACACUGGGACUGAGACACGGCCCAGACUCCUACGGGAGGCAGCAGUGGGGAAUAUUGGACAAUGGGGGGAACCCUGAUCCAGCCAUGCCGCGUGUGUGAAGAAGGCCUUAUGGUUGUAAAGCACUUUAAGCGAGGAGGAGGCUACUUUAGUUAAUACCUAGAGAUAGUGGACGUUACUCGCAGAAUAAGCACCGGCUAACUCUGUGCCAGCAGCCGCGGUAAUACAGAGGGUGCGAGCGUUAAUCGGAUUUACUGGGCGUAAAGCGUGCGUAGGCGGCUUAUUAAGUCGGAUGUGAAAUCCCCGAGCUUAACUUGGGAAUUGCAUUCGAUACUGGUGAGCUAGAGUAUGGGAGAGGAUGGUAGAAUUCCAGGUGUAGCGGUGAAAUGCGUAGAGAUCUGGAGGAAUACCGAUGGCGAAGGCAGCCAUCUGGCCUAAUACUGACGCUGAGGUACGAAAGCAUGGGGAGCAAACAGGAUUAGAUACCCUGGUAGUCCAUGCCGUAAACGAUGUCUACUAGCCGUUGGGGCCUUUGAGGCUUUAGUGGCGCAGCUAACGCGAUAAGUAGACCGCCUGGGGAGUACGGUCGCAAGACUAAAACUCAAAUGAAUUGACGGGGGCCCGCACAAGCGGUGGAGCAUGUGGUUUAAUUCGAUGCAACGCGAAGAACCUUACCUGGCCUUGACAUACUAGAAACUUUCCAGAGAUGGAUUGGUGCCUUCGGGAAUCUAGAUACAGGUGCUGCAU
rnacentral:rRNA from 1 species